rnacentral:rRNA from 1 species
AGUGAACGCUGGCGGUAGGCCUAACACAUGCAAGUCGAACGGCAGCACAGUAAGAGCUUGCUCUUACGGGUGGCGAGUGGCGGACGGGUGAGGAAUACAUCGGACUCUACUUUUUCGUGGGGGAUAACGUAGGUAAACUUACGCUAAUACCGCAUACGACCUACGGUUGAAAGCAGGGGAUCUUCGGACCUUGCGCGAUUGAAUGAGCCGAUGUCGGAUUAGCUAGUUGGCGGGGUAAAGGCCCACCAAGGCGACGAUCCGUAGCUGGUCUGAGAGGAUGAUAAGCCACACUGGAACUGAGACACGGUCCAGACUACUACGGGAGGCAGCAGUGGGGAAUAGUGGACAAUGGGCGCAAGCCUGGUACAGCCAGACCGCGUGGGAGAAGAAGGCCUUCGGGUUGGAAAGACCUUUUGUUGGGAAAGAAAAGCAGCAGGUUAAUACCCCGCUGUUCUGACGGUACCCAAAGAAUAAGCACCGGCUAACUUCGUG